UACACUCCUACGGGAGGCAGCAGUGGGGAAUUUUGGACAAUGGGGGCAACCCUGAUCCAGCAAUGCCGCGUGAGUGAAGAAGGCCUUCGGGUUGUAAAGCUCUUUUGUCAGGGAAGAAACGGUGGUGGCGAAUAACUACUACUAAUGACGGUACCUGAAGAAUAAGCACCGGCUAACUACGUGCCAGCAGCCGCGGUAAUACGUAGGGUGCAAGCGUUAAUCGGAAUUACUGGGCGUAAAGCGUGCACAGGCGGUUGUGUAAGUCAGAUGUGAAAUCCCCGGGCUCAACCUGGGAAUUGCAUUUGAGACUGCACGGCUAGAGUGUGUCAGAGGGGGGUAGAAUUCCACGUGUAGCAGUGAAAUGCGUAGAUAUGUGGAGGAAUACCGAUGGCGAAGGCAGCCCCCUGGGAUAACACUGACGCUCAUGCACGAAAGCGUGGGGAGCAAACAGGAUUAGAUACCCCUGUAGUCCCA
rnacentral:rRNA from 1 species